rnacentral:rRNA from 1 species
GCAUAACGCGAAGAACCUUACCCACACUUGACAUACCUCUUGGGGCUUUCAGAGAUGAUUGCUUUCGGUUCGGCCGGGGAGAGUACAGGUGCUGCAUGGCUGUCGUCAGCUCGUGUCGUGAGAUGUUGGGUUAAGUCCCGCAACGAGCGCAACCCUUAUCGUAUGUUGCCAGCAUUUAGUUGGGCACUCAUGCGAGACUGCCGGUGACAAGCCGGAGGAAGGCGGGGACGACGUCAAGUCAUCAUGGCCCUUACGUGUGGGGCUAGAAACGUGCUACAAUGGCGGUGACAAUGGGCAGCGAGAUCGUGAGGUCAAGCUAAUCCCAAAAAGCCGUCUCAGUUCAGAUUGUAGUCUGCAACUCGACUACAUGAAGUUGGAAUCGCUAGUAAUCGCAAAUCAGCAUGUUGCGGUGAAUACG